rnacentral:sRNA from 1 species
UUUCCCCUUUUAUUUUAGCCAAAUGAAACGAAAUGAAAUCAAAUGCGAGCCCCGAACAUCAACCAUUUUUCCUGCGGGUGCAGAUCCGUUAACGGUUAUUAACUACGCAUAACGCUGCGAGACGAAGAAGCUCGGAGUUAGGCGACAACAGCCCCAAACCCGUCGUCGCCUGCGUCAUCGGUGGCUGUGCCAGUUACAUGGACUACAUUUCGAGAUGGGACCCCAAAACGACUCUCAUCGGAUCCGAUCUCCAUCGCCAUCUCCAUCUCCGUCCAACCAGUUAACCAGUCGUAAACCGGAACUGGCCCGCAUAACGGUCAACUUUUCUCUAAGUGCAGCUAGAUGGCCCAUUGUUGUUGCGGCGGCUGUAUUAGAUAGCAAAAGUCAGUCUGCGUCGAAGUCGGAGUCGGCAUAGAAAGUGAAACCACCGCGUUGGCCACACGAUCGUCGUUGCCAGGCGAACGGCAGCACAAAGAAGAGGGAACGAAGCCCGGCUCUAAGAUAUAAGCCAAACAACUAACUAUUACUCAAUCUGUGCUAAAAAGAAAAAUAGAGAUAGAUGAAUAGAUUCGCUGCAGCUAAAGUCGAGAUGUUGGAGCCACAACAAUGCGGAGCGGACGAAGUGGAACUGGAGUGUGAAAGAUGGAUUGGAUGACAACGGAAUCGAGAUGGAUCGAAACCGGGAUCUGGAGCUGGAGCUGAAGCUGUAGCUCAUUGGAGGUCCAAUCAUGUAACCCACCAUCGUAUCUGUGAUUAGUGUGGAUUCCAUUGAUAUCCAUUUACUUUCGCAUAUGACUCAAUAUAUUCUGUUUGG